AUUGAACGCUGGCGGCAGGCCUAACACAUGCAAGUCGAGCGAGCGGCGGACGGGUGAGUAAUGUCUGGGAAACUGCCUGAUGGAGGGGGAUAACUACUGGAAACGGUAGCUAAUACCGCAUACCAUCGGAUGUGCCCAGAUGGGAUUAGCUAGUAGGCGGGGUAACGGCUCACCUAGGCGACGAUCCCUAGCUGGACUGAGAGGAUGACCAGCCAAACUGGACCUGAGACACGGUCCAGACUCCAACGGGAGGAAGCGGAGGGGAAUAUUGCACAAUGGGCGCAAGCCUGACGCAGCCAUGCCGCUUGAAUGAAGAAGGCAUUCCGGUUGUAAAGUACUUUCCGCUGGGAGGCGUUACCCGCAGAAGAAGCCCCGGCUAACUCCGUGCCAGCCGCCGCGGUAAUAC
rnacentral:rRNA from 1 species